rnacentral:rRNA from 1 species
UACGAGGGGGGCAAGCGUUGUUCGGAAUUAUUGGGCGUAAAGGGCGCGUAGGCGGCGCGGUAUGUCUCUUGUGAAAUCUCCAGGCUCAACUUGGAGUCUGCAAGGGAAACUGCCGUGCUUGAGUUCGGAAGAGGGUCGUGGAAUUCCCAGUGUAGAGGUGAAAUUCGUAGAUAUUGGGAAGAACACCGGUGGCGAAGGCGGCGACCUGGUCCGAUACUGACGCUGAGGCGCGAAAGCGUGGGGAGCAAACAGG